UAUUCCAAGUUUAAUUUUCCUUUAAUUAUUGCAGGUAACAUCACAACAAAAAGAAAGAAAGAAUGGCUGAUCUGAGUUCAAGAUAUGGCUUGGACCACUUUCAGAAAAGAAACAUGAUCUGCACUGAGAGGUUUAUAGAUCCUACAUACCACCUAAGUUUAAAAACAUUUGCCAGAAGAUGUCGCAUUCCAGAAAACUCAUCUAUCAGAGGUUUAUGAUCAUUAUCAGCAAUAAAGAGCGUGUACAACAAGAGUUGAGUCAAGUUUACACAGUUCUAUUCAGACUGAACAUCGCUUGUUGUGGGCUUCCCUGGAGCUUCAGUGAUAUUAUUCUCUUGUUUUUGCUGCUCCACCUCAACUGUUCUGCCAGCUAUCAAUGUGCUCGAAUUGUUACUAUGUGA
ensembl:lncRNA